rnacentral:rRNA from 1 species
UGGGGAAUAUUGCACAAUGGGCGCAAGCCUGAUGCAGCCAUGCCGCGUGUAUGAAGAAGGCCUUCGGGUUGUAAAGUACUUUCAGCGGGGAGGAAGGGAGUAAAGUUAAUACCUUUGCUCAUUGACGUUACCCGCAGAAGAAGCACCGGCUAACUCCGUGCCAGCAGCCGCGGUAAUACGGAGGGUGCAAGCGUUAAUCGGAAUUACUGGGCGUAAAGCGCACGCAGGCGGUUUGUUAAGUCAGAUGUGAAAUCCCCGGGCUCAACCUGGGAACUGCAUCUGAUACUGGCAAGCUUGAGUCUCGUAGAGGGGGGUAGAAUUCCAGGUGGAGCGGUGAAAUGCGUAGAGAUCUGGAGGAAUACCGGUGGCGAAGGCGGCCCCCUGGACGAAGACUGACGCUCAGGUGCGAAAGCGUGGGGAGCAAACAGG